rnacentral:sRNA from 1 species
UUGUAAUGUCUGGUUUACUGCAGCCCUACAGAGGAGGGACACAGCUGAGGCAAUGCAAAGCUCCCCACACUGCCUUGCCAAGGGGCCUUUACUCUUACCCAGAAUGACCAUCUCUGAAGAUGAAACAUCAAUCCCAACUGCUAACAAACCUGGCUUGCA